CCCUUAGACGUUCUGGGCCGCACGCGCGCUACACUGACCAGUGCAACAAGCAUCCGUCCUUGGCCGACAGGCCCGGGCAAUCUUUGAACGCUGGUCGUGAUGGGGAUAGACUUUUGCAAUUUUUGGUCUUCAACGAGGAAUUCCUAGUAAACGCAAGUCAUCAACUUGCAUUGAUUACGUCCCUGCCCUUUGUACACACCGCCCGUCGCACCUACCGAUUGAAUGGUCCGGUGAAGCCUCCGGAUUGGCGCGGACCUCGGUGCCGCCGAGAAGUUGGCUAAACCUUACCAUUUAGAGGAAGGUGAAGUCGUAACA
rnacentral:rRNA from 1 species